GGGAUAUUGGUCAAUGGGGGGAACCCUGAACCAGCCAUGCCGCGUGAGGGAAUAAGGCCCUACGGGUCGUAAACCUCUUUUGCCGGCGGAUAAGGACGCCCACGCGUGGGUGUUUGAAGGUACCCGGAGAAUAAGCAUCGGCUAACUCCGUGCCAGCAGCCGCGGUAAUACGGAGGAUGCGAGCGUUAUCCGGAUUUAUUGGGUUUAAAGGGUGCGCAGGCGGGCUGUUAAGUCAGCGGUGAAAGUUCCCGGCUCAACCGGGUCAGUGCCGUUGAUACUGAUAGUCUUGAAUGCGGUCAAGGCCGGCGGAAUGUGGCGUGUAGCGGUGAAAUGCAUAGAUAUGCCACAGAACACCGAUAGCGAAGGCAGCUGGCCGGGCCUGCAUUGACGCUCAGGCACGAAAGCGUGGGGAUCGAACA
rnacentral:rRNA from 1 species